AGCAAUUGCAUGCUUCUUUGUUUAAUUUGUAACAAAGCCUUACAGACAGGUGCAAAUAGUAAAUCUUCUUUUGCAACUCAGAACUUAUUGAAUAUGAGAUUUUGGUACAUGUAAGAAGAAAUAUG